rnacentral:rRNA from 1 species
CAGUAGCCGCGGGAAUACGUAGGUGGCAAGCGUUGUCCGGAAUUAUUGGGCGUAAAGCGCGCGCAGGCGGAUGGGUCAGUCUGUCUUAAAAGUCCGGGGCUUAACCCCGUGAUGGGAUGGAAACUGCCAAUCUAGAGUAUCGGAGAGGAAAGUGGAAUUCCUAGUGUAGCGGUGAAAUGCGUAGAUAUUAGGAAGAACACCAGUGGCGAAGGCGACUUUCUGGACGAAAACUGACGCUGAGGCGCGAAAGCCAGGGGAGCGAACGGGAUUAGAUACCCGCGUAGUCCCUGUCUCUUAUACC